rnacentral:rRNA from 1 species
CAGUCGCCGCGGUAACACGAAGGGUGCAAGCGUUAAUCGGAAUUACUGGGCGUAAAGCGUGCGUAGGCGGUGAGUUAAGUCUGCUGUGAAAUCCCCGGGCUCAACCUGGGAAUGGCAGUGGAUACUGGCUCGCUAGAGUGUGUCAGAGGAUGGUGGAAUUCCCGGUGUAGCGGUGAAAUGCGUAGAGAUCGGGAGGAACAUCAGUGGCGAAGGCGGCCAUCUGGGACAACACUGACGCUGAGGCACGAAAGCGUGGGGAGCAAACAGGAUUAGAUACCCCCGUAGUCCCUGUCUCUUAUAC